rnacentral:lncRNA from 1 species
UUUUGGCAAUAUAUUUCUUUCACUGGAUCAUAUAGUAAACACAAGUAUAUUUACAACAAAUAGACCUCAAGUGUUACUAUACUUACUACCUUAGAGGAUGUUCAGUUUUCAAGUCGUCAGAUGCAUCGGUUUUAUGAGAUUUGUGUUCUUUCUUCCAAGAUCUUCUCCAUGUAUUUAGCAUGUUCUUCUAUCCGUAUUUGAAGUGACCUCUGUACCUACUCAUCCAGCAAUUGGUUGAGAGCAAAUCUUGAUUGAAACUCAGAUAACUGUAUGGCUCAAACUCUCAACAUUCAUCAGUUUCAUAACAGCCUCAAGAAUUUCUUCAGCAUAUUACAAAAACAACACCUGCUUAGAUCAACAUUUUGCAGCAAAAAAAACUCUCAAGAAGAGAAGAAAAACAAAAUUAUGAAUAUAUUUAAGAUUGGUUGUUGAAAUCACAUAAAAGUUAAACUCACUUUCAGGCCCUUCAAGAUUGUUCAUAUAGCUCAGGAAUCCAUCUCAUUCUUGGCUUGUUGUGGUUAACAGUUGAUCCUGGAGACAGUUCUGCAGGAACACAGUCUUGCCCAGGAUUAACUUGUUAAUAUCUCUUGUAUUAAUCAAACCAAAAAGGUAACAAAAUCUAAGGAGAGAAACUAACUCUGAAGAGUCUCAUGAGUUCUACUGCAUCCAAAAUAUUAAACAAUCAAUUCCUUUUUAUAAGAAAGCAAAAGACAGAAACAUUUAUUAUAUUAAGCUAAAAGAAUUGAUCACACAUAACAAAAAAAAAUAUGGAACUCGAUUCACUUUACUCGAUCGCACACUAAGAAUAUAAUCUUAUCACAAUUGCUUCCACAUCCAUCGAGAGAUUUAGCUUUCUCAUUCUUCUGUGAUUUUUCUCUAAUGGCAAACUCCAAGAAGCAAGCAUGGUGAAGAACAAAACACUCAUGUUU